rnacentral:lncRNA from 1 species
UGAUCAAGAAUAUCGAUCACUGCUCCUGUUCGUGUUCUCUUGCGUGUUUCCUCUAAGAGAGUAUCCAGCAGCAGAUACCGGCUCUCAUGGGAUUACUUGAAGGACUUUCGAUUAUGCAGGGAAAGCCUUUUUCAGAAGUAUGGAUAUCUCCUUGGAGCUCACUUUCCUUAUAUCCCUGGACAGUAUAAACCCGGUUCAGAUGACUCCGACUGCUGUACCUCCCCUUAGAAGAAAAAAAUUCCAAAUCCAGACCAAACCAACAGAUCAACCCACAGAAAGAACAAAGAAAGGAAGAACAAAGACCAAUAUAAACUAUAAAGAUUGA